rnacentral:rRNA from 1 species
UCGCUACUACCGAUUGAAUGGUUUAGUGAGCUCUACGGACUGUCGCCUACUUUUGGGUUUCCUUUGGUAGGCAGCGGGAAGUAGAUCAAACUUGAUCAUUUAGAGGAAGUAA